GGUGCGUGUGCACAGCCACGGGACUUUUCAUGUUUCAGAGUUGACUUGACUACUCAUUACCUGCCCCCCACUCCCGGGAUGGACCAGUGAGCCUCAGACAGUCCACGCUCCGUAUCAAAUGCUUAUGUCAGACACGUUUCUGACAUCCACCAACUCUGUGCAGGCUAAGCCACCGUGUAGGUCUGGUGACCAAAUUAGGUCAAUCACAGGACCGGUCUGCUCAGAAGAAAGCCUGUCUCCCAGCUGCCCCCAGGCCGUUCCCACAGCAGCUCGGAUGGUGGGUCAGGAGGCUGUGCCCUCCCCUCCCUGGAACUCUGUCAAGUGGACCACCCAGCUGUAUGACGGAAAGAUAACCCUUCACUU
rnacentral:lncRNA from 1 species